rnacentral:rRNA from 1 species
CAAUAGCGUAUAUUAAAGUUGUUGCAGUUAAAAAGCUCGUAGUUGGAUUUCUGGUUGAAGCGACCGGUCGGGCGUUGAUUCGUCUGCACUGGAGUCGGUUUUGGCCAUCCUCUAGGAAAGUGCGUCUGGUAUUAAGUUAUCGGGCGUAUGAUCCGGGUCUUUUACUGUGAAAAAAUUAGAGUGUUUAAAGCAGGCCUUCGCCUUGAAUACAUUAGCAUGGAAUAAUAAGAUAGGACUUUGGUCUAUUUUGUUGGUUUGCAGACCGAAGUAAUGAUUAAUAGGGAUAGUUGGGGGUAUUUAUAUUCCGAUGUCAGAGGUGAAAUUCUUAGAUUUUCGGAAGAUAAACUUAUGCGAAAGCAUUUACCAAGGAUGUUUUCAUUAA